ACUGAUGUGUUGUUGGGUAGGGGAGCGUUCUGUAAGCCGUUGAAGGUGUGUCGUGAGGCAUGCUGGAGGUAUCAGAAGUGCGAAUGCUGACAUAAGUAACGAUAAAGCGGGUGAAAAGCCCGCUCGCCGGAAGACCAAGGGUUCCUGUCCAACGUUAAUCGGGGCAGGGUGAGUCGACCCCUAAGGCGAGGCCGAAAGGCGUAGUCGAUGGGAAACGGGUUAAUAUUCCCGUACUUGGUGUUACUGCGAAGGGGGGACGGAGAAGGCUAUGUUGGCCGGGCGACGGUUGUCCCGGUUUAAGCGUGUAGGUGUGUGUUCCAGGUAAAUCCGGUUCACUUUAACACUGAGGCGUGAUGACGAGGCACCACGGUGCUGAAGCAACAAAUGCCCUGCUUCCAGGAAAAGCCUCUAAGCCUCAGGUAACACGAAAUCGUACCCCAAACCGACACAGGUGGUCAGGUAGAGAAUACCAAGGCGCUUGAGAGAACUCGGGUGAAGGAACUAGGCAAAAUGGUGCCGUAACUUCGGGAGAAGGCACGCUGACACGUAGGUGAAGUGGUUUACCCAUGGAGCUGAAGUCAGUCGAAGAUACCAGCUGGCUGCAACUGUUUAUUAAAAACACAGCACUGUGCAAACACGAAAGUGGACGUAUACGGUGUGACGCCUGCCCGGUGCCGGAAGGUUAAUUGAUGGGGUCAGCGCAAGCGAAGCUCCUGAUCGAAGCCCCGGUAAACGGCGGCCGUAACUAUAACGGUCCUAAGGUAGCGAAAUUCCUUGUCGGGUAAGUUCCGACCUGCACGAAUGGCGUAAUGAUGGCCAGGCUGUCUCCACCCGGGACUCAGUGAAAUUGAACUCGCUGUGAAGAUGCAGUGUACCCGCGGCAAGACGGAAAGACCCCGUGAACCUUUACUAUAGCUUGACACUGAACACUGGUCCUUGAUGUGCAGGAUAGGUGGGAGGCUUUGAAGUGUGGACGCCAGUCUGCAUGGAGCCGUCCUUGAAAUACCACCCUUUAAUGGCUGGUGUUCUAACGUGGGCCCGUGAACCGGGUUGCGGACAGUGUCUGGUGGGUAGUUUGACUGGGGCGGUCUCCUCCUAAAGAGUAACGGAGGAGCACGAAGGUUGGCUAAUCCUGGUCGGACAUCAGGAGGUUAGUGCAAUGGCAUAAGCCAGCUUGACUGCGAGCGUGACGGCGCGAGCAGGUGCGAAAGCAGGUCAUAGUGAUCCGGUGGUUCUGAAUGGAAGGGCCAUCGCUCAACGGAUAAAAGGUACUCCGGGGAUAACAGGCUGAUACCGCCCAAGAGUUCAUAUCGACGGCGGUGUUUGGCACCUCGAUGUCGGCUCAUCACAUCCUGGGGCUGAAGUAGGUCCCAAGGGUAUGGCUGUUCGCCAUUUAAAGUGGUACGCGAGCUGGGUUUAGAACGUCGUGAGACAGUUCGGUCCCUAUCUGCCGUGGGCGCUGGAAGAUUGAGGGGGGCUGCUCCUAGUACGAGAGGACCGGAGUGGACGCAUCACUGGUGUUCGGGUUGUCAUGCCAAUGGCACUGCCCGGUAGCUACAUGCGGAAGAGAUAAGUGCUGAAAGCAUCUAAGCACGAAACUUGCCCCGAGAUGAAUCUUCCCUGAGCCUUUAAGGCUCCUGAAGGAACGUUGAAGACGACGACGUUGAUAGGCCGGGUGUGUAAGCGCAGCGAUGCGUUGAGCUAACCGGUACUAAUGAACCGUGAGGCUUAACCUUACAACGCCGAAG
rnacentral:rRNA from 1 species